rnacentral:rRNA from 1 species
AGAUUGAACGCUGGCGGCAUGCCUUACACAUGCAAGUCGAACGGUAGAGUAGCAAUACUCGAGAGUGGCGAACGGGUGAGUAAUAUAUCGGAACGUGCCCAGUAGCGGGGGAUAACUACGCGAAAGCGUGGCUAAUACCGCAUACGCCUACGGGGGAAAGGGGGGGAUUCUUCGAGAACCUCUCACUAUUGGAGCGGCCGAUAUCAGAUUAGCUAGUGGUGAGGUAAGGCUCACCAAGGCGACGAUCGUAGUAGCUGGUUGAGAGGACCGACCAGCCACGACGUGGGACUGGAGACACCGGGCCCAGACCGUCCGUACGGGAGCGAGCAGGUUGGGGAAUUUGGAC